CUCCCGCGUGGCGGCGUCACGGAGAUCGCUGUCGACCCGGACUUGUGGGCGCGAUUGGAGGAAAAGGCCCGGGCAGAGUGCGAACGAGAUGAGGCGGGGAGCCCGGCGAAGGAAAGCGGCGACGCCGACGAAGAGGCCGCAGAGGAAGGGGAGAGCGAGAAGGGGGCGGGGCCUAGAAGUGCGGGGUGGCGUGCGCUCCGGCGGCUCUGGGACAGGGUCCUGGCGCCGGCGCGCCGCUGGCGGCGUCCGCUCCCUAGCCACGUGCUCUACUGUCCCGAGAUCAAGGACAUUGCCCACCUGACCCGUUGCACGCUGUAACCGAGGAAUCCAGAAGCUACUGCUGACGGAAGGUGGGAGCUGCAGCCUCGGGAUGUGCUUUAGUGCAGGGAGCUGAUGUCAAGACUACUACUCUCAGAUCCCAGGAUUGGCACUGAUGAGAUGAGCCAAGGGCAGGAGGGAACGCCCUGGAAGGUGUUGAUGCUGAGCUGGGAGGCUCCUAGACAAACUCGCCCCCAUCUACAGACUGUGCCAGUCUUACAUUUUUCAGGAUGGAGUGGCCAAGGGAUGCUAUAAACAAAGCCUACGUUAUCGUGGGAAGAAGACAGACGUUUUCUUAGCUGUGACUUUGGCUUUUGUCCAAGGUGGUUCUGGUGUGUGGGAGCAACAGGUCCCAUUUUAGCAA